CAUAGCUCUGGCAAAACUAGAGCUGCAGAAGUUCUAGCUGGGGAGGUCAUCUGCUCAGGUGUCCACAUGUCAGUUUCAGGGGAGGGUUCUUGUUGGUCACAUUUGGCCCCUUGCUGUUGUUGGGGAGAGGGUAGGGCCCCUCCUGUAACUAGGUGGGGAGGGGUGCCCUAGAAGCAGUUAGCAGAAGAGCAGAUGGAAAGAUUGCCCCAUUAUCUCCCACAUCUGGCUACUUCCAAGAGCCCAUGAGGAGUCUGGGCCAGCCGCUAGCCCAGCCCAGGGCCUGGCUCCGUGAUCUCCAGCAUCGGGUGUCGCUCUUACAAGCCAGGACUGGGAGGCUGGAUGCCUGGCCAAGUCACAUUCCUUUUUGGGCCUCAGUGUGGCUGUCCGUGAAAUGGGAGCAAAUCUCUGACAAUCAGCUAGUAUUAGGUGAGCUAAGAAGCCAAGUGGCCACUUGUUCUCAUCAGCGAGUCCAGACGCACAGGCAUUUGCAUGAGCUCUAUGAUAACUUCCCUGGCAGCUUUUGGUAAGGAAUUCCGUAAGAAGCUACUUGGGAGGCUGAGGCAGGUUGAGCCCAGGAGCUUGAAGUUACAGUGAGCCAUGAUUGUGCCACUGCAUUCCAGCCUGGGCAACAGAGCGAGACUCUGUCUCUUAAAAAAAAAAAUUCCAUAAAAGUUAUAUACACACGUGUGCACAUGCGUGUGUGUGUGUGACAUCUCUUCCUAGUGAUGUUCCCCCUGACCUGGCCAACAGCCCUGAUUCUGUCCUCCAAACCUGAUGCUGGCUGGCUUCCAAUAGCCUGGCUCAUUGCUAUUCUACACCAGCCCCUCUCUGCCCUCAAUUCAGCCCCUCCACUGCAGUGUCAGAAUUGAGCCUCAAAAUGCAGCCUGCUACAGCCUCUGCAGGGGUCUCCAUGCUUCCAAGCCUGCUUGAAACUUUCUUUAUGGCAGGCAUGGGGAGGGGGGAGGGCAGGCCGUGUGUGGCUGUCACCAGACCUGGCUGCCUUGGGCCUGGCUGCUUUGGGCCGAGCCUUUGCAUCCCUAGUGGGUCCUCACGGCUGCCCAUAAACCCAGCAGGGUAAAAUUCUUCGUUUUGUCAUACUGAGCAGCCAGCAUGCUUAACCAGCAGGCAGGGAAGGGUCUGGCAAGCCCACCUCCCCUGCUGUGUGUGGGAUGGAGUGGGGUUGUCUAGAGCCAGGAGACCUGAGCUUUGGUUUACAUGAGGCCUUGAGCAAAGCAGUUCUUAUUUUUGAGGUUGCCCAUCAGUAAAAUGAGAGGCUGAAUUAACAGGACCAGACUAUUCCAGCACCCUUGACAGACACAUCACCACCAGUUGAUGGAUUGUGAGGAAUGCUCUAUGUUCAGGCAGAUCAUGCAUUUUUCCAAGCCUCAGUUUUCUUAUCUGUUAGCAUGAUCCUCACAAGGAUGGGGCAGGGCUGCAAUGAAGACAGGGACAGGGAUGGCCGAGCCCAAAGGCCUUGGUCACCAGCAUAGCCCAAGCGUCUGCUAGGUGAUGCACUAAGCUGCCCAGCACUCUGCCAGUUCUACCCUCUCUGUGUCCCCUGACCAGGAGAAGGCAGCUGUUGACUCAAGGGAACAAGUUCCCUGGGGCUCAGAGGAGCUGGCAGAGAGGUUAAUUGGGGUGUGGGGCCACCUGCUGGUCACCUGGGUGAGUAUUCAGUGGGCACCUACUGUGUGCCAUAGCCUGAAGGAGCUGUGGGGCAGGGGAGAGACCACAGCACCAUAAUGAAUAGCUGACACUUAUUGAGUGCCUACUGUGUGCCAGGACUGUGCUAAAGCUUUACAUGGAUCAUCUCACUUAGUCCUCACUUUCUCAUCUUACAGGUAGAGAAACUGAGUCCCAAGCUCUUAGCCGCUGCUCUCUGUGCUAGAGGAGGUCAAAGGAAGGAAAUGCUGUUUUUGGCUAGGGGCAAUCACAGAAGACUUCCAAAAGGUGGUGACAAUAUGAACUCAAAGGGAAAGCCAGAUUUGGAUAGACAAACAUUUAGGGACUUAGCUGGCAGGUACACGGGGAGGCAAGGCAUUUUGUGUGAAGAAUGGAAAACAAGUCUAUUUACUGGGUGAGAGGCAGCCAUGGCACAGGGGUCUCUCAUUUCCUUGUCCCAUCUCCUGUAGGAAGUCAGAAUGGGGUGCUCAGGGAUGAGACAAUGGGCCCCUGGUAAUAGCUCCUCUCUCUUAGAGCCCCCAGGGUUCUCCCAUGGGUAGUGCAUUCCCCCUCCACAUGUGCACCUCUGGCUCCUCUGGAGAUACACUCAACCAAUGUGUCAGACAAUCUAUCCAUCCCCUCUUACUGCUCCAGCAUUUCUGGUUGAUUUCAGAGUUGGCUGUUAGAGUUGGGGCCAGAUCUUUUCACAUUGGACUCCCUGAACCCCCCAGGAUUUGGUGAAGGAGUCCUAGGACCCUCCACUUUUGCUUCCAACACAGCUAUUUUAUAGAUUGGUGUGCUGAGAUUUAAUUUGAACAAGUUUACAUGCAUUAAAAAAGUUUAUGGAGCACUGAGCUAGACAUUAACAAAACUGAUCUCAAAUUUUGCAAGGCAGGCAUUAAGAUCUCCAUUUUACAGAUGGGAAACCAAGACUCGGAGUAACUAAGUGGCUUCCCAAGGUUCAUGGCUGGUGAGGACAGGAGGCAGGGCUCUGACAUGGCAAAAUGGCUACAAGAUUGUCCUUUCUCCUAUGGUUCCUGCCCUCAGAGAGUCCAUACUUCAUGGGCACAGGCACCUGCUGGCAUUGUCUGGUGGGGCGUCACUGGUGCUGACAAAGGGAGCAGAGAUGACUGGGUGGUCGUGGGUGUCUUAGGCAGGCUUGCUUUCCCCUUUCUGGAGAGUUCACUCUGGACAGAGACAGUUGGGGCAAAGAGUGGGUGGUGGCAGCAGGGGAGGCACUGGGAAGCCUGCCUUAGCCUAUAAACCCUGCCCCAGUGUAGAGGCUGUGUAGAUAAAGCAGAUGACACCCCCAUUCCCAUUCCUGAUCUUGAUCUGUGUUCACAGCAAGCCACGGAGUAAUCAACCCUCAGACCUGGCAGAGAUGCUCUGUGUGGGAAUGAGGCAGGCCCCUCAGCCACCUCUUGAAGCAGCACCCCUAGUGCAGGGACUCUCCCCCAACCAGUCUCCCUUCCAGGUGAUGGGACCUUGACUCAUGGGUCAUGUUUCCCCCACAUGAGCUACUAGGGCUGGAUGGAGGGUCUCAGGGCCCACUGAAAAGGCCCAGGGGCUGAGGGGCUGGGCUCUUAGCUGUGGGCCUGGCCUGUUUGAGCCAUGCCUUGGAGCUCAUGUUUUAGCACCUAGCGUGUGCCAGACAUAUCUCGUACUUGACUUUGUUUACUUUUCUGUUCUUCCAGUAGCCCUCCCAGGCAGAGAUUAUGCCCACUUUGCAGAUGAAGUCACUGAAACUUGAAUAGUAGCAGAAGAAACUUCCCAGGUUCCUAUGAGUGGUGUGUGGCAGGACCAGGGUCUGAAGCUAGGGGCAUGGAGCCUCACAAUCCCCUUCCUAAUGGGAAGGCUAUCCCUGCCCAAAGAGUUCCAGUGUCAUCUGACCCCUUCCCUGAUCUGGUCUAGCUGGAGGAGAUGUCAUAAACCCAUUCCUCCUCUGCCCUGAUCUUCUAUGCCCCUGGAUGCCAGAGGAAGGAUUCUUGGGUGUGACCUUCUAUGGCCUCUGGUCCCUGAACUUGGGCAAGGAGUGCCUGGCACCUCUCAGGAUGCUUUAAAGUCAGAGUGCUUCCCUGCAGAGGAGACAGAUGUUGGGUCUGAGUCACACAGCUUGGGAUCCCCUUCUGACUCCACUCUGUGACCUUGGACAACUCUCUUAAUCUCUCUGAGCCCAUUUCCUCAUUAGAACAUAUGGAUAGCAAUGCCUGCCCCCCAGACUGUGAGACUGGGAGAGGUAAGGCAUGACAGUUUGCUGAGCUCCCAGCAUGUCAUAGGUCCUGAAAAAAUUCACGUCACAUAUGAGACCGUGUGGGGCAUGAUGGUGUUUAAGGAAGUAUUGAGUCACAGGUUAAAGCCUUUAGAAAGGAGGCUGACUUCCUGGGAGAAGCUGCAGUCAGAGCUCCUGUCUAACUGAGCCACCCACCUGCCCUUGAGGCCUCUCUCUCUCUCUCUGAAGGUUCCUGCCAGGCCAGGCCCUAGUAGGCUGUGCAGUGGGACUCGCCAGGGCUGCUAUGAAAGACAGGUGAAGCAGGGGAGGCUCUGCCCAGUGCCAUUAGGCAGGUCCAGAGAACCCCUCCUUACAGGAUCAGGAAGGGAGCCAGAGACUGUGGCUCCCUUUGUACCAGCUGGUGAGGGGAUGGACUGGCCCAGUGUGCCUCCUGUGGGCAGGUGUCUCUGUGCUGUUGGCUGAGCCAAGUUAAGCAGACAGGACUCCUUCUACAAUGAUGGAACCUACAGCCAAACAGUGGAGUGACAGACAGGGACAGAAGGGUUGGGGGGUGGGGAGUAUCUCUGAGAAGGGGACACUCAGCCAAGGAUGAAUGACAAGAAGUUGAUUAUAAGAAAAGAGAGGCUGGGCAUGGUGUCUCUUGCCUGUAAUCCCAGCACUUUGGGAGGCC
rnacentral:lncRNA from 1 species